GGUGAAGCUUUAUAAAAAUGUGAGUUAUUUCUUGUUUUGUGGAAGAAUGUAAUCAUUCCUGUUUCUUUCCAGAGCCAUACUUUUAUUUAUUUAAUGAUUCUUGUUUUUUUAAUAUUGAAAGCUCUUGUACCUCGGACGGGAAUAUCCAAAAGGCCAGAGUUACUUUAAAGAGAGACUUAAAAAAGCGUUCUUGAAAAACAAGGACGUUACAGAUCCUGAAAAGAUCAAGGAGCUUAUUGGUCGCGGAGAAUUUGUCAUAAAGGAGCUUGAAGCAUUGUACUAUCUUAAAAAGUACAGAGCAAUGAAGCAGCGAUAUUACAGCGAAGAACAGAACUCAUGAGGAUCACUUUACGCAAGCAAUCCCGGAGCCAUUCUUGCUGGGUAAAACCAUUAUUUCCAAAUUACUGCCACAAAUGAUGAGUAACUCAUAACUUGUAUGGGUUGAAUGAAUGUAAACACUAAUCUGAAAUUGCCAAUCAAAAAAAAUAUGCAAGUAGCAGUGUUAUACCAUCUAGGCUAUUAUAGCGGAAAAUGAACUGGUAGUGCGCGAGCCAUGCAAUCUAUCCAGUUAUUGGAGAAAUAAAGCUAAGAUGUCUGUUAUGUUUUAAUAAUCUGGUCUGUAAUCUUUGUCUUUGUAACGGACCGUUUUGCACACAAGGGGUAAAAACCGUUUAGGCGAUCGGCCCCCUUUCCAGAGAUCCAGGCACAGCUACUGCAGAAC